AUGUUCACCUUCAAGAAGGAAUCGGGGAAGAGGAAGGCGCUAGAUGAUGGACCGUGGAUGUUUGAUAAGGAUCUAGUUGUCGUCGAGGACUAUGACCUAGGGAAAUGACUCGAGGACUAUGAGUUCAGUGAGAUCCCAGUUUGGGUGCGAGUAUUCAGGCUUCCCUUAGGUAUGAUGAAUGAGGAGGCGGCGGAGGAGAUAGGAUAUCUUAUUGGGCGGUUCAUGGAGGUAGAUGCUGGGGUGGGUGGGAAGGCUAUCGGAAAGUACAUGAGGGUCAAAGUAAGGAUGAACAUUGAGAAGCCGAUUAUGAGGGGUUUUACACUUGAGGAGGAGGAAGAUCAACUGAACCAGAAACAUAAGAAGAAGAUGAACAUUGAUGGGUCUGGAGGAGAAGAAGAGGAGGAUGGUCUAUGGUGUCGGUUUGAAUAUGAAUUCAUGUCUGACUUCUGCUACACCUGUGGUAUCAUUGGACAUGGCGAGAAAGAUUGCUCUAUCAAAUUGGAGAAAGGGGAGAAAGCACAAUUUGGUAACUGGUUGAGAGCUUUGGAAGGCGUAGAACUGGAAGUGAGGAUAGCUGGGGGUGGAAGGGAAAGAACCGAGGAGGGGAGAACAACUAGAGCUAUGGGUUUAAUAGAUCGAGUGGCAGAUCUGUGA
rnacentral:rRNA from 1 species